ACAGCAGUAGCCGCGGUAAUACGUAGGGUGCAAGCGUUAAUCGGAAUUACUGGGCGUAAAGCGUGCGCAGGCGGUUAUAUAAGACAGAUGUGAAAUCCCCGGGCUCAACCUGGGAACUGCAUUUGUGACUGUAUAGCUAGAGUACGGCAGAGGGGGAUGGAAUUCCGCGUGUAGCAGUGAAAUGCGUAGAUAUGCGGAGGAACACCGAUGGCGAAGGCAAUCCCCUGGGCCUGUACUGACGCUCAUGCACGAAAGCGUGGGGAGCAAACAGGAUUAGAUACCGAGUAGUCCCUGUCUCUUAUACC
rnacentral:rRNA from 1 species